UACGUAGGGUGCAAGCGUUGUCCGGAAUUAUUGGGCGUAAAGAGCUCGUAGGCGGUUUGUCGCGUCUGCUGUGAAAACCCGGGGCUCAACCCCGGGCCUGCAUUCGAUACGGGCAGACUAGAGUUCGGUAGGGGAGUCUGGAAUUCCUGGUGUAGCGGUGAAAUGCGCAGAUAUCAGGAGGAACACCGGUGGCGAAGGCGGGACUCUGGGCCGAUACUGACGCUGAGGAGCGAAAGCGUGGGGAGCGAGCAGG
rnacentral:rRNA from 1 species